rnacentral:rRNA from 1 species
GACGAACGCUGGCGGCGUGGAUUAGGCAUGCAAGUCGAACGGUAUCAUCCUUUCGGGGGUGAGAGAGUGGCGAACUGGUGAGUAACACGUAGGUUAUCUACCCUCAAGACGGGGACAACCCAGGGAAACUUGGGCUAAUACCCGGAUGUGAGCCAACUUUUAGUUGUUUGAAAGGUGGCGUAAGCUGUCGCUUGGGGAUGAGCCUGCGUCCUAUUAGUUAGUUGGUGAGGUAACGGCUCACCUAGGCAAUGAUAGGUAGGCGGCCUUAACGGGUGGUCGCCCACACUGGGAUUUGAGAUACGGCCCAGACCUCCUACGGGAGGCAGCAGUCGAGAAUAGUCUACAAUGGUCGGAAGACUGAUAGUGCGACGCCGCGUGAACGAUGAAUCCCUUCGGGGUGUAAAGUUCUUUUAUAUGUGAGCAGUGCUUCUUAUAUUAACAGUAUGGGGAGAGAGAUAUUAGCAUAUGAAUAAGCAACGGCUAACUCCGUGCCAGCAGCCGCGGU